CCAUAGCCCUGAUUGAAGUAAAAAUCCUUUUUGUUUUUUUUAAACAAAAAGAUUGCAGCGAAAAGCAGGAACUAGC
rnacentral:sRNA from 1 species